UAUUUUUGUAUAGUUCCAAUAUCAAGAGUGAGAUUUUUUUUUUAUUUGACAUGUCUGGUGAUGAUCCCUUAUGGUGGUUUGGGUUUUGAUUGUGAUCUUUUUUCUCUUGAUUUGUUUUCCUUUGAUUGUGACUUUUCCUCCAUAGCAUUCCCUUACAGCCUUGGCUGUAGACCUGUCUGGACAUGUCCCUUCUCUGAAGGCAUCUGCCAGCUCUUCUAGGUCUUAGCAGUGAUAACUGGUUUUUAUGUUAUUUUUUUUUUUUUUUUUUUUUAGCUCGGAUGCUUGUACACAUGCUGAAUAGAAUCCAAGCCUGUCCACUGGGUGCUGAGUCCUUGAUGGGCGGACACCAAUCUCUCCUUGGGCAGGUGUGAAGUUCUCUCGCUUUCCACAUCGUGGACACACCAGCCCCGGUGAUCCCCACCUCUGUGACAGCUAGCUCUGCUGCACAAGGUCUACAGCCAAGACUCCUCAACUGCGUGCGCUCAGCACCCAGCCCAGCUGAGCUGUUCAGAGGGAAGAAAGGCCCAAUUCCCUCAGAAGUCAGAUAAUAAGAUGAAGAUUUCGUUUGUUGAAAGGAAGGAGCCAAGAGAGCAAGGCAGGGAGCCCAGAGAAGAGCUGACAGGGGUACUUCUUUGGAAAAAGUUCAGAGCUACUUGGAGCAAGCGGGAAUGGAGCCAAUCUCUGAGGAGGCUGGAGCGCCGAACAGAUCCAGGGGGCCCAGGAGUAAUGAGCCUGGAGCGAGAGGCAGCUCCCAGUGUGAAGGUCCUUUUCUUCUGCUACUGCACGGUGGUCUGACCCCCACCUCCAGUGCUUACGACUCAAGCAGCAUCCAUCACUUCCGGUCAGUGUCUAGAAGCACGCAGGAAGUGAAGACGGUCCUGACCCCUGCAGGAUGCGCAGCUGCCCCGAGCUAUCGGGCUACCAGGAGGAGACUUGAAGUCCGGAGGAGUAGAGUCUACCUCAGACAAAGCAAACAGUCUAGUUUCUGGUCUCCAGAGGCUAAGAGAUUGAAGCCACUUUGGCAGGCACGAGAAGACCCCAAGCCCCUUCCCUCCCUCCCCCAUUCCCCAGCAGCAGGGGCCGUGAGUGGCAGUUAGGGACGACAUCUUGGAGGGAGCUGGAGACUCAAUUCUAUUCUUGUUCAGCUGGUAGGAUGCCAAUCACUACAUCACAAGCGGCCUGAUUGGGAGCACUAAAGAAAAAGCAGGGACACAAAUAUCCCAGGGUAGGGGUGAGGGGAGAGGGGCACAGGGAAGAGACAACUCAACCAACAGCCCCUCAAGGCCAGGAAAAGGAGGCAGGUUUCUUGAGUGUGGGUAAGAGAAUCCUGGGGGUUUUCGAAUCCAGCUGCAGAGGCAAUGGAACCUCAGCGCUGCGUCGUGGCCAGAGGGGACACUGUGUUGGGACACCGUGGGUGAGCAAGGAGAGUGACCCCAGGACCCCAGGGUUGAUGAAGGUCAAGGAGUCCAGGGAUACUUUCCUCAACUUGGUGCUGGUGAUGGCAAACACUUCCCAUAGACACUCUCUGAAGCACUGUGCAUGUAAUAAUUCACUUCAUCCUCAGAACAACCUUGCAAGCGUGGACCAAGCAAGCCACUUCCCUGAGUUCCCAUCAUCAGUAAGAGGCAGGGCUACUUUCCAAGUCCUGACGGAAUGGAUGGCUCGGGUGCCCAUGCUCUUCACGGUAGACUUAGUGGUGUUUUUAAACCGAGAAACAUGUCAGUAGCUAAUAAUAUCAGUACCACUGGCUGCCACAUUGUGCCUGUUCUGUGCCCUGCGCCGGCGCCCCCUAGGAGAGUUCCAUGAGAAAGUGUUACUCCCAAAGAUGGGAGGAGAAA